rnacentral:rRNA from 1 species
AUGGGGGAAACCCUGACGAAGCAACACCGCGUGACUGAUGACGGUCUUCGGAUUGUAAAGCCCUUUUCUGAGGGAAGAAUUCUGACGGUACCUCAGGAAUAAGCACCGGCUAAUUCCGUGCCAGCAGCCGCGGUAAUACGGAGGGUGCAAGCGUUAUCCGGAAUCAUUGGGCGUAAAGCGUCCGCAGGCGGUUAAUUAAGUUAAAUGUUAAAUCUAGAGGCUCAACUUCGAGGAUGGUGUCGAAAACUGGUUUACUAGAGACUUGCAAAGGCUCGUGGAAUUCUG